rnacentral:lncRNA from 1 species
CCAGUGUGUGGGUAGAGUCCAGUGUGUGGGUACUGUCCAGUGUGUGAGUAGAGUCCAGUGUGUGGGUAGAGUCCAGUGUGUGGGUAGAGUCCAGUGUGUGGGUAGAGUCCAGUGUGUGGAUAGAGUCCAGUGUGUGGGUAGAGUCCAGUGUGUGGGUAGAGUCCAGUGUGUGGGUAGAGUCCAGUGUGUGGGUAGAGUCCAGUGUGUGGGUAGAGUCCAGUGUGUGGAUAGAGUCCAGUGUGUGGGUAGAUCCAGUGUGUGGGUAGAGUCCAGUGUGUGGGUAGAGUCCUGUGUGUGGGUAGAGUCCAGUGUGUGGGUAGAGUCCAGUGUGUGGGUAGAGUCCAGUGUGUGGGUAGAGUCCAGUGUGUGGGUAGAGUCCAGUGUGUGGGUAGAGUCCAGUGUGUGGGUAGAGUCCAGUGUGUGGGUAGAGUCCAGUGUGUGGAUAGAGUCCAGUGUGUGGGUAGAGUCCAGUGUGUGGGUAGAGUCCAGUGUGUGGGUAGAGUCCAGUGUGUGGGUAGAGUCCAGUGUGUGGGUAGAGUCCAGUGUGUGGGUAGAGUCCAGUGUGUGGGUAGAGUCCAGUGUGUGGGUAGAGUCCAGUGUGUGGGUAGAGUCGAGUGUGUGAAUAGAGUCCAGUGUGUGGGUAGAGUCCAGUGUGUGGGUAGAGUCCAGUGUGUGGGUAGAGUCCAGUGUGUUGGUAGAGUCCAGUGUGUGGGUAGAGUCCAGUGUGUGGGUAGAGUCCAGUGUGUGAGUAGAGU